GAUGAACGCUGGCGGCGUGCCUAAUACAUGCAAGUCGAGCGAACUGAUUAGAAGCUUGCUUCUAUGACGUUAGCGGCGGACGGGCGAGUAACACGUGGGCAACCUGCCUGUAAGACUGGGAUAACUUCGGGAAACCGAAGCUAAUACCGGAUAGGAUCUUCUCCUUCAUGGGAGAUGAUUGAAAGAUGCUUUCGGCUAUCCCUUACAGAUUGGCCCGCGGUGCAUUAGCUAGUUGGUGAGGUAACGGCUCACCAAGGCAACGAUGCAUAGCCGACCUGAGAGGGGGAUCGGCCACACUGGGACUGAGACACGGCCCAGACUCCUACGGGAGGCAGCAGUAGGGAAUCUUCCGCAAUGGACGAAAGUCUGACGGAGCAACGCCGCGUGAGUGAUGAAGGCUUUCGGGUCGUAAAACUCUGUUGUUAGGGAAGAACAAGUACAAGAGUAACUGCUUGUACCUUGACGGUACCUAACCAGAAAGCCACGGCUAACUACGUGCCAGCCGCCGCGGUAAUAC
rnacentral:rRNA from 1 species